rnacentral:rRNA from 1 species
GACGAACGCUGGCGGCGUGCCUAAUACAUGCAAGUUGAGCGCUGAAGGUUGGUACUUGUACCAACUGGAUGAGCAGCGAACGGGUGAGUAACGCGUGGGGAAUCUGCCUUUGAGCGGGGGACAACAUUUGGAAACGAAUGCUAAUACCGCAUAAAAACUUUAAACACAAGUUUUAAGUUUGAAAGAUGCAAUUGCAUCACUCAAAGAUGAUCCCGCGUUGUAUUAGCUAGUUGGUGAGGUAAAGGCUCACCAAGGCGAUGAUACAUAGCCGACCGGAGAGGGUGAGCGGCCACAUUGGGACGGGGACACGGCCCAAACUCCUACGGGAGGCAGCAGUAGGGAAUCUUCGGCAAUGGACGAAAGUCUGACCGAGCAGCGCCGCGUGAGUGAAGAAGGUUUUCGGAUCGUAAAACUCUGUUGGUAGAGAAGAACGUUGGUGAGAGUGGAAAGCUCAUCAAGUGACGGUAACUACCCAGAAAGGGACGGCUAACUACGUG